CUGUUUUCAAUGUAAAGAGCCCUGAGAAUCACAGAGGCACUGCUACAGACCGUCAGGCACAGUAUCCCCGACAAUGCCACGGCAAACCUGGGGCUGAACUUCAUGACUUUGUCCUCACCCAUAACUAUUUCACAUUUGGGGAGAAUGUAUACCUUCAAAUCAGUGGCACUGCUAUGGGUACCCGCAUGGCCCCACAGUGCCAUGGUGCCAAUGGUGCCAACAUUUUUAUG